CUCUCACGUUUUUUUCUGAAAAAGAACAAAAAGAGAAACAACGACAUUUCUCUUCCUCUGAAAAUCGAUUGAACAACAACCUUCAGCUUAUCUCGCGAAUCGACCUCACUCUCGCUCUGGGUUCUCUCUUCCAAAACGCUACCUCUUCCUCCUUCGAUUGUUGCCUAUCACGAAGAACAACAACCUGUGACGAGCAGCCAUGGCUUAAUUUCUCAGUUACUCUCAUUCAAGCUCUCGCGAUUUCUCUUUGUGAACAACAACAACAACGCUCAACCAAUCUCUCUUAGUUUCACGGCAGCCAUGGGUGAACAGGAAGUUAUUUUAAAGAUGAUACACAAGAACAACAAAAGCUAACAACAACAACUAACAACAAAUUUAAGGAUAAAUUUAAGGAUGAGAGUGUAGUCGGACUUACCUACGGCAAGGAGGUCUUUGCCGGAUUUGUUGAGUGGCCAUGGGAUCUUAUCUCGACAAGAAGAACUUACCGUAUAACCCGGUUUCUUUCACAAACAGAGGGAAAUAUGUUCAUGGUAACAACAAUAUUGAGAGUAAGAGUGAAAUUAGCUUACCUACGGCGAGGAGGUUUUCGCCGGAUUAUUGUUGAAGGCUUUUGAUGAAGAUGGCCACCACCUCUUUGGAUGUUAGGGAGACUUGAAGAUGGACUUCAAGUUGGAACUCUCCACCAAGGUAUGAAGAAUUUCUUCUUCACUCUCUUCAAACCAUGGAACUUUGUAACUAGGAAUUCUCACUUCUCAAGUGGUUUUCUUUGGUUUGAAGAAUUGCUUCUUCUUGCCAAGAAACUUGAAAACUAUGAGAGAAAAGAGAGAAGUGAGAAAGCUAGUAGUAUAGUAGCUUUGGUGUGAUUUUCUUCAAUGAGAGAACUUCCUAUUUAUAGGCAAAGUUAAGGGAGUGUUUGGCAAUUGGUAAUCUUGAUUGGCAAGUUUCAAUCAUUGCAA